AAAAAAUCACUGAAGGCUCAUUAGAUGUCCAAACAAGCAAUAGACGGAGAGGUGGCCAACAGGAGUACAAAAAUUUGAGGAAAGCACUGUGCAUUGGCUACGCAAAUCAGCUUGCUGAACGAAUGAUUCGACAUAACGGGUAUCGGCCUCUUGGUUUCAAGUCUGAACUCGUACAGGUCCAUCCAUCUUCUGUGCUAAAAUCAGAUGAGGAUGGGAUGCUUCCAAACUAUGUCGUCUAUCAUGAAUUAAUAGUUACAUCACGCCCAUUUAUGCGUAAUGUAUGUGCAGUUGAGAUGCG
rnacentral:misc_RNA from 1 species